rnacentral:rRNA from 1 species
GAGUGAACGCUGGCGGCAGGCCUAACACAUGCAAGUCGAACGAGAAGGCGUAGCAAUACGCUUGUACAGUGGCGAACGGGUGAGUAAUACGUGGGCGACCUACCCUCGAGUGGGGAAUAACCCGCCGAAAGGCGGGCUAAUGCCGCGUACGCUUCCAUCUUUAUGGAGGUGGAAGGAAAGCCGUGCCGUGGGCACGGCGGCUCAAGGAUGGGCUCACGUCCUAUCAGCUUGUUGGAGGGUAACGGCCUACCAAGGCUCCGACGGUAGCUGGUCUGAGAGGACGAUCAGCCACACUGGCACUGCGACACGGGCCAGACUCCUACGGGAGGCAGCAGUGAGGAAUAUUGCGCAAUGGGCGAAAGCCUGACGCAGCGACGCCGCGUGGGGG